CGAAAUUUUUACUUUAGUGGCGGACGGGUGAGUAACGCGUGGGUAACCUGCCUUAUACAGGGGGAUAACACUUAGAAAUAGGUGCUAAGACCGCAUAAGCGCCCAGGGCCGCAUGGCCCAGGGUGAAAAACUCCGGUGGUAUAAGAUGGGCCCGCGUCUGAUUAGCCAGUUGGCAGGGUAACGGCCUACCAAAGCGACGAUCAGUAGCCGGCCUGAGAGAGUGGACGGCCACAUUGGGACUGAGACACGGCCCAAACUCCUACGGAAGGCAGCAG
rnacentral:rRNA from 1 species